GGGGUCCUGACCUAAAGAAUUUGGUCAGUAAGACUGCUGAAAGCAUGUGGAGAGUACUGGGCAAUACAGGACUUACAUUUCUGGGGGAAGAUCCAGGACGGAGGGUGAGGCGGAUGUUGGGGUCAUCCUGCAGCAUAACCAAGACUGAUGCACAGAGGAUUUCAGUCUCCAGGGCCAUCAGUCUGGAACCUCGCACAAGCUCACCUACACCAUACCACGCUAUAUACACAGCUCCUUCCUCUGGGUCCCAGUGCACUGAAGAGUCAAAUUUUAAAGUGAACUCCACAUAUCAUUAAGUUAAACCAAAUGCAAUGGUCCAAGUGUGGUGCUUCUGAACAAGCACAUUCCUCCAGGUGAUCAAAAUGAGAGGAUUGGGCCUCAGCUACUCUCACCAAAUGGCUGAUUUUCAGGGAAGAAAAAUGUCCCAUUGUCUCUCACCAUCCUGCGCAGAGCUGGAAUGAUCCAUUGUUUGCAGUUCAGAGUAUUUUCAGUGACCAGUCUGAGCUCAGCUUUAGUGAAGACCACUUAAUAAUGAUGCCAGGCAGAUAAUUUCUGGCAGGGUCUGAAUUAUGGUACAUUACACUUAGGUUAACCCUCUAACCCCAACUGAAAAGGGCCAAUGUACUCCAGCAGCUUCUGGUUUUGUGUACAGCAGGGUAUUAUCCUGAAUUCCCUGUAGACCCCCAAACACGCCUAACGUAAUCAGUGAGAGAUUGCCUAAGGAGUGCAAGGGUUAGAUGAUAGAGGGCUACUGUUCUCUGCUCUCUUUCCAUUCAGGCAAGCCAGGAGGGUGCAGAUUAUUGAACCCUCUCCCCCAGACAAGAACUAAGGGUACUGACCUUACCCCUGCAAUUGUCCCAAGUAGUAGGACAGGAUGGUGCUGGUCACACUUUAUAUUAAGGGCACAUUUAUAAAUAGCUUAUAAAGGCAUAAUAAAUUAUUAAAAGAUGUGUUAAUAAAUGGUUCAUCAUUUGUUAUCGUGCCCAACAGGUCAAUAGAUUGUCCAUAGCCAUGAUUUCUAAUCAUCUGUAAUACCUUUUACUGAUGUGUUUAUAGCCAGUUAUAGCACAUAUUUCUCCUGUUUGUAACAUGGUAAGAGCAUCUAUUAAUCAUUUAUUAACCUAUUAUUAAAUGUACCCUUCCUAUAGUGUGACCAAAAUACCUAUUUAAUGGAAUGGGGAACCUGUCAUAAAUCUUCCCAAAGAAUAUAUGUAUAUAUGUUUGUACAGCACCUAGCACGAGGGAAUUACUAUCUUGAGUGAGACCUUCGUCCUAAAAAUAUUAAUGUACCAAGACAAUCUGAGAUGCUGCAUGAAUUUGAACAUCAGACACUAAUGAUUGGCUCUGCCGGCAAAUAUUAAGGAAUCUUGUAAUGUUAAGUUCAAAUGACUGUGUAGUUACUUUGUAAUUUGAUUUUAGUUAAAACAAAAAAGAAGUUUGGAUGCUGUAGAAAUCCUUCCCUCUCUAUUAUAUCUGCACGUAUCUAUAACUGUAGUCACAACAGAGGCAUCUGGUUGGGAGGUGGUGAAUUUCAGCUUUCUCUGGGCAAUCAUUUCUGCUAUUUACUAACAAUACAAGGCAUGGUUUUCUAAAAUUCCCCAGCUCUGUGGGGAAUGGGUCACUAAAACCCACAAUUGCCUCAUUAAGAAUACAAGUCUCUUUCCUUCCCCAGCAGCAAUGAUGUGGAGCCAAAAGUCGUAGUCUUCUCUUUUCAGCAUAGACAUGUCACAAGAGAAGAGGAAAGGAAGGGAUAGAACUUCCCUGAAUCCUAACUCAUGAUGUACUUAGCAGUGGGGGAACACACCCAAGUAUGAGUAAGUCCAGAGCAGAGAGCUAGAAACGCAAAUCAAAUGUCCUUUUCAUCAGCAUUUUUCAUUCUUUUUCAGAACAUGACCCCACAUAUCAGUCAUCUGCACCCUACCCGCCAUCUCUGCAUCCCAGAAUGCUUUGUGCCUGAUUAAAUGGUGCUCUCCAGAAUAGGAGCUAGGCCCCAUGGUGCUUCCAAAGAAUUGCUAUGAUCCCAGCACCUGAUGCAAUGGCUAAUAUGGCAUCUGCUGGAGUCUGAAAAAAACCACCUGUUUCCAGGGCAGUGCAGACAAAUCUGCUUCAGCAGGUGACCAGAGACUGGGCAUGAGGCUGGCUCACAAUGCUCUCAGAGAGCUGCCAGCAACUUGCUUUAACUCCUAAGCAGGGCUGGCCUUACCAUGAGGUGAACUGAGGCGGCUGCCUCAGGUGCCAGACUGUGGAGGGGUGCCACUAGGACCCAGAGUGUAAA